UACGAAGGGGGCUAGCGUUGCUCGGAAUCACUGGGCGUAAAGCGCACGUAGGCGGGUUCUUAAGUCAGGGGUGAAAUCCUGGAGCUCAACUCCAGAACUGCCUUUGAUACUGGGAAUCUCGAGUCCGGGAGAGGUGAGUGGAACUGCGAGUGUAGAGGUGAAAUUCGUAGAUAUUCGCAAGAACACCAGUGGCGAAGGCGGCCAACUGGUCCGGUACUGACGCUGAGGUGCGAAAGCGUGGGGAGCAAACAGG
rnacentral:rRNA from 1 species